GAUGAACGCUGGCGGCGUGCUUAACACAUGCAAGUCGAACGGUGAACGAGGGAGUUUGCUCCCUCCGGAUCAGUGGCGAACGGGUGAGUAACACGUGAGCAAUCUGCCCUGGACUCUGGGAUAAGCGUUGGAAACGACGUCUAAUACCGGAUACGAGGCGUGGGGGCAUCCCCAACGCCUGGAAAGAACUUCGGUCCAGGAUGAGCUCGCGGCCUAUCAGCUUGUUGGUGAGGUAACGGCUCACCAAGGCGACGACGGGUAGCCGGCCUGAGAGGGUGACCGGCCACACUGGGACUGAGACACGGCCCAGACUCCUACGGGAGGCAGCAGUGGGGAAUAUUGCACAAUGGGCGCAAGCCUGAUGCAGCAACGCCGCGUGAGGGACGACGGCCUUCGGGUUGUAAACCUCUUUUAGCAGGGAAGAAGCGAAAGUGACGGUACCUGCAGAAAAAGCACCGGCUAACUACGUGCCAGCCGCCGCAGUAAAAC
rnacentral:rRNA from 1 species